GUCGAACGCUGGCGGCGUGCUUAACACAUGCAAGUCGAACGGAAAGGCCCUGCUUUUUUGGGGUGCUCGAGUGGCGAACGGGUGAGUAACACGUGAGUAACCUGCCCUUGACUUUGGGAUAACUUCAGGAAACUGGGGCUAAUACCGGAUAGGAGCUCCUGCUGCAUGGUGGGGGUUGGAAAGUUUCGGCGGUUGGGGAUGGACUCGCGGCUUAUCAGCUUGUUGGUGGGGUAGUGGCUUACCAAGGCUUUGACGGGUAGCCGGCCUGAGAGGGUGAACGGGCACAAUGGGACUGAGAUACGGCCCAGACUGCUACGGGAGGCAGCAGUGGGGAAUAUUGCACAAUGGGCGGAAGCCUGAUGCAGCAGUGCCGCGUGCGGGAUGAAGGCCUUCGGGGUGUAAACCGCUUUAGCCUGUGACGAAGCGUGAGUGACGGUAAUGGGUAAAGAAGCACCGGCUAACUACGUG
rnacentral:rRNA from 1 species